GACGAACGCUGGCGGCGUGCUUAACACAUGCAAGUCGAACGGUGAAGCACCUUCCUUUUGGUGGGUGUGGAUGAGUGGCGAACGGGUGAGUAACACGUGAGUAACCUGCCCCCUUCUUCUGGAUAACCGCAUGAAAGUGUGGCUAAUACGUGAUAUUCUGUGCCUGCUGCAUGGUGGGUGUGGGAAGGAUGCGCUUUUGGGUGGUUUUGGUGGGGUAUGGGCUGGCGGCCUGUCAGCUUGGUGGUGGGGUGAUGGCCUACCAAGGCGGUGACGGGUAGCCGGCCUGAGAGAGUGGACGGUCGCAGUGGAACUGAGACACGGACCAGACUGCUAGGGGAGGCAGCAGAGGGGAAGAUUGAACAGUGGACGCAAGCCUGAUGCAGCGACGCCGCGUGAGGGAUGGAGGGCUUCGGAUUGUAAACCUCUCUCGGCAGUGAAGCAGGCCUGUCCCUUGUGGGUGGGUUGACGGUAGCUGGAGAAGAAGCGCCGGCUAACUACGUG
rnacentral:rRNA from 1 species